CCUACGGGAGGCAGCAGUGAGGAAUAUUGGUCAAUGACCGGAAGGCUGAACCAGCCAAACCGCGUGAAGGACGAAGGUGCCAAGCAUUGUAAACUUCUUUUGUCAAGGGACAAAAUCAGGCUCGAGAGCCUGACCGAGGUUACUUGAAGAAAAAGCAUAGGCUAACUCCGUGCCAGCAGCCGCGGUGCUACGAAGGAUACGAGCGUUGUCCGGAUUUAUUGGGUUUAAAGGGUUCGUAGGCUGGCUGUUAAGUCAGCGGUAAAAGCCCGGGGCUCAACCCCGGCGCGCGGUGGAUACUUGCUGUCUUGAGAUGGCGAGAGGUAUGCGGAAUGCGAAGUGUAGCGGUGAAAUGCUUAGAUAUUGCGAAGAACUCCGAUUGCGAAGGCAGCAUACUGGCGGUGAUCUGACGCUGAGGCACGAAAGCGUGGGUAUCGAACAGGAUUAGAUACCCUAGUAGUC
rnacentral:rRNA from 1 species